AGAGAAAUUCAUCAGCAACCCUCUCGCAGCGUUUCAGCUCGUGAGAAAGCUAAGUCUAGCCUGGGCCGCUACGCAGGAACUUAUCGAAAGAAGACGUGCAAAAGACACUUUGGAAAGCUUGAAAUCUGCAGCUCAGACUCUCCCCAGUGCAGAAGAUGUAGAAGGUGUGGUGAUGGCUUUGGUUAGACUGCAAGAAAUGUACAGAUUAGAUCCGAGGAACAUCUCCUUAUUUUCUGAAAUGAACCACAACGUGACGCUGGAUCCAGAUGAAACUUUCCAUAUCGCCAUGAUCUCCUCUCUCAAUCAGCGCUU